rnacentral:rRNA from 1 species
UACGUAGGGGGCAAGCGUUGUUCGGAAUUACUGGGCGUAAAGGGCGCGUAGGCGGUCUUGCAAGUCCUGUGUGAAAUCCCUCGGCUCAACUGAGGAACUGCACAGGAAACUGCUUGGCUUGAGUUCGGGAGAGGGAAGCGGAAUUCCGGGUGUAGCGGUGAAAUGCGUAGAUAUCAGGAGGAACACCGGUGGCGAAGGCGGCUAUCUGGACAGAAACUGACGCUGAGGCGCGAAAGCUAGGGGAGCAAACAGG